GUGUUUACUUCAGCAGCACAUAUACUAAUAUUGGAACGAUACAGAAAAGACUGACACGGCCCCUGAGCAAGGAUGACGUGCAAAUUCAUGAAGCAUUCCAUAUUUUU